AUUUGUCUUGUCAAUUCUGAGGA
rnacentral:miRNA from 1 species